rnacentral:rRNA from 1 species
AACGCGAAGGAACCUUACCUGGUCUUGACAUGUACGGAAUCCUCCAGAGACGGAGGAGUGCCUUCGGGAGCCGUAACACAGGUGCUGCAUGGCUGUCGUCAGCUCGUGUCGUGAGAUGUUGGGUUAAGUCCCGCAACGAGCGCAACCCUUGUCAUUAGUUGCCAUCAUUAAGUUGGGCACUCUAAUGAGACUGCCGGUGACAAGCCGGAGGAAGGUGGGGAUGACGUCAAGUCCUCAUGGCCCUUAUGACCAGGGCUUCACACGUCAUACAAUGGUCGGUACAGAGGGUAGCCAAGCCGCGAGGCGGAGCCAAUCUCACAAAACCGAUCGUAGUCCGGAUUGCACUCUGCAACUCGAGUGCAUGAAGUCGGAAUCGCUAGUAAUCGCAGUCAGCAU